AUUGAACGCUGGCGGCAGGCCCAACACAUGCAAGUCGAACGAGUGGCGGACGGGUGAGUAAUGUCUGGGAAACUGCCUGAUGGAGGGGGAUAACUACUGGAAACGGUAGCUAAUACCCCCUAGCAUCGCAUGUGCCCAGAUGGGAUUUGCUAGUAGUUGGGGUAAAGGCUCACCUAGGCGACGCGCCCUAGCUGGUCUGAGAGGAUGAGCGGCCACACUGGAACUGAGACACGGUCCAGACUCCUACGGAGGGAAGCAUUGGGGAAUAGUGCACAAUGGGCGAAAGCCUGAUGCAGCCAUGCCGCGUGUAUGAAGAAGGCCUUCGGGUUGUAAAGUACUUUCAGCGGGGAGGCGUUACCCGCAGAAGAAGCACCGGCUAACUCCGUGCCAGCAGCCGCGGUAAUAC
rnacentral:rRNA from 1 species